AACAAUAAAUGAUGGGAUGAUAGUGAAUUAUGAGAUAU
rnacentral:guide_RNA from 1 species